GCCAGUCUGGCUCAGUUGGUAGAGCAUGUGACUUUUGAUCUUGGGGUUUUAGGUUCGAGCCCCACAUUGGCU
rnacentral:tRNA from 1 species